rnacentral:misc_RNA from 12 species
CAUUUGCAUCGCUCUCUCUCUCUCUCUCUCUCUCUCUCUCUCUCUCUUCUAAAACAAACUGAUAAAAUUAAUCUUUCGAGAGAGAGAGAGAGAGAGAGAGAGAGAGAGAAAGAAAAAAGA